rnacentral:lncRNA from 10 species
ACGAACGCAGCAUUUCAGGGACUGGAUGAGGAGCUUACGGUUUUUUACAGGUGGAGUCUCGCUCUGUCACUAGGCUGGAGUGCAGUGGCACGAUCUCGGCUCACUGCAACCUCCACCUCCCGGAUUCAAGCGAUUCUCCUGCCUCAGAUUCCGAAGUAGCUGGAAUUACAGUAUGCAGUAUUGAUAACAUGGACCUUUGCUGUUCAGGUUGUACUUUCAGCAUUCAUCAUCACAAAGAAAGAGGAGGUUCAGCAACUAUGGCAUGACAAAAUUGAUUUUGUCAUUUCUGAGUAUGGAUCUAAAGAUAAGCCUGAAGAUAUAACCAAGUGGACUAUUCUGAAUGCCUUACAGAAAACAUUACAGUGUUGUGGCCAACAUAAUUACACAGACUGGAUAAAGAAUAAGAACAAAGAAAAUUCAGGACAGGUGCCAUGUUCUUGCACAAAGU